rnacentral:misc_RNA from 1 species
UCUCCGUUGGUGAACCAGCGGAGGGAUCAUUACCGAGUUUACAACUCCCAAACCCAAUGUGAACAUACCUCUCGUUGCUUCGGCGGGAACGCCCCGGCUCUGCCCGGAACCAGGCGCCCGCCGGAGGUACGCAAACUCUUGUCUUCAGUAUAUUCUUCUGAGUGGCAAACGCAAAAUAAAUCAAAACUUUCAACAACGGAUCUCUUGGUUCUGGCAUCGAUGAAGAACGCAGC